rnacentral:lncRNA from 1 species
UGAAAUUGUUUUUAUUUUUAUUUUAGUCUUUUUAAUGUAUUGUUUAUCGUAAUUCUAUUGUGGUAUUUUUGUUGUUGGUAAAGUGCAGGGGACAGGUGUUGACAAGUUAUUAUCACACAGCUAAUAGCCAAAACUAUGGGAGACUACUGCAGGCCUAUUAAUGCAUCACAAGUUUCUAUGGAAUUUGUUCCCGCUGAUCCUGCAAAUUUCAACAUCAAAUAUGUUGUGCUUUUAGAUUUAAGGGAUAAAC